rnacentral:miRNA from 1 species
UGUGAUCAAGAUCAGACUCCCA